ACGCUGGCGGCGUGCCUAAUACAUGCAAGUCGAACGAGAGCGACCGGUGCUUGCACUGGUCAAUCUAGUGGCGAACGGGUGAGUAACACGUGGGUAACCUGCCCAUCAGAGGGGGAUAACAUUCGGAAACGGAUGCUAAAACCGCAUAGGUCUUCGAACCGCAUGGUUUGAAGAGGAAAAGAGGCGCAAGCUUCUGCUGAUGGAUGGACCCGCGGUGCAUUAGCUAGUUGGUGAGGUAACGGCUCACCAAGGCCGUGAUGCAUAGCCGACCUGAGAGGGUGAUCGGCCACAUUGGGACUGAGACACGGCCCAAACUCCUACGGGAGGCAGCAGUAGGGAAUCUUCCGCAAUGGACGCAAGUCUGACGGAGCAACGCCGCGUGAGUGAAGAAGGUUUUCGGAUCGUAAAACUCUGUUGUUAGAGAAGAACAAGUGCUAGAGUAACUGUUAGCGCCUUGACGGUAUCUAACCAGAAAGCCACGGCUAACUACGUGCCAGCAGCCGCGGUAAUACGUAGGUGGCAAGCGUUGUCCGGAUUUAUUGGGCGUAAAGCGAGCGCAGGCGGUUCCUUAAGUCUGAUGUGAAAGCCCCCGGCUCAACCGGGGAGGGUCAUUGGAAACUGGGGAACUUGAGUGCAGAAGAGGAGAGUGGAACUCCAUGUGUAGCGGUGAAAUGCGUAGAUAUAUGGAGGAACGCCAGUGGCGAAGGCGACUCUCUGGUCUGUAACUGACGCUGAGGCUCGAAAGCGUGGGUAGCAAACAGGAUUAGAUACCCUGGUAGUCCACGCCGUAAACGAUGAGUGCUAAGUGUUGGAGGGUUUCCGCCCUUCAGUGCUGCAGUUAACGCAUUAAGCACUCCGCCUGGGGAGUACGACCGCAAGGUUGAAACUCAAAGGAAUUGACGGGGACCCGCA
rnacentral:rRNA from 1 species